rnacentral:tRNA from 1 species
GCCCCCAUAGCUCAACUGGAUAGAGCAAGCCCCUCCUAAGGGUUAGAUCUGCGUUCGAGUCGCGGUGGGGGUA